CCCUCCCGAGUAUGGAACUAGAGCCCAUUGUUAUAACGAGAGUCUUUUGUAAGGAUUAAAAUUCUAUCGUAAUUUGAUCUCCUCGAGUAAAAAUUCAUGUGCUUGAUCUGGUAGUUAAUUAAUAUUUAUCCUUUUGUAAAGCUCUAGGCGGCUCGCAAGGGGUGAAUUGAUCAAAUACAGCGUCAAAAAGAGUGGGCUUCUUGUAAUUGUCAUCGUUGCGUGCAUGGGAGUCAGAUAAAGCCAACUUCAUUAGACAGCAGUAUCUGAAAGUCUUAAUUAGGGUGGUGAUGGAGGAGAAUAAUGCCGGUUUUUCAGGGGUUUUGAUGAUUGCCGUUCUUCUGAAGUUAAUUUGCCAUUUUUCUUAAGUUAAAUGACAUCUUCACUAUUUUAUUAAAUAACACCCAAUUGGUUGAGUUGUGGGCACCUCAUUGCCUCAACUCUUGAGGUAAAGAAUUUUGAGUUCGCCAAUCUAUUUUGUAGAGAUAGAUUUUUCUCCAAAUAUUUAGAUCAGCAAAUCCAUAUUACACUAUCAUAUAACUAAGUUUAGAAGGCCUUGGAAUUUUUUCAUAGUGUAAUUUUUUUAAAAAAAAAAAUUCAAUAUAAUAUAUAUCCUACGUGGACCUUGCAUUAGUUCGAGAGUACGAUAGAUCUUAACACAAAUGAAAUGAGGAAACUCUUGCUAAUAAACAAUCCUACAAUGUUAGGGUAGAGUUUACUAGUUUUCACUUUCACUAUAACUUUACAUCUCUUACUCACCCAACCGCUUUUGUACCAGAAUAUCAUUUAUAGAAAGUUUUGAGUUUGAUAUCUUAAAACAAAGUUGUUAAGCUACGUAGCUUUCACUUUCAAAUAAUUGAGAGUGAUACUGACUCUUAUUACUGCAAUUUUUCUUGGAUCUUGCAUCAGCUGCACCAUACAUCCGUCACUGGUUUUAUGUUAUCCAUAAUAAGGUUUUUAUUAAUAGUAACAAGUUUCAUUAGAUGUAAUAAGCUUCCGUAAUAUAUAUAUAUUUCUGUGUGUGUGUGUGUGUGUGUGUUACGGGUCUUAAAUUUAUUUAUUUUUAAAGUCUUAUUAUAUUUUAAAAGUAUGACAUGAAUUUGAGUUUAGUGAGUCAAGGGUUGUUAAGUUGGACCUAAUCUUGUAGGAAGAAUUAGUUUUCCCUGUUUCUUUGGGAUUUGGUCAAUAAGUUAGUUUCGAUUGUACUUGAUGGCUAUUUAAACCAUGAAAGACUUGAAUAAAUGCAUGAGUAAGUUAUUCCAAAUCAAAUCUACUUGUGCGGUUGAGGCCAAGAUUUCUCUGUUAAUCUUAAACUCUAGUUUUAAAAUUUAUUCAUCAUAGGUUCCAACAAAAAUAAAAGAACCAAUCCUCAGUUUGUGGACGUAUGUACAAAAAUAUAAGUUGUAUAUAUAAUGAAAAAUUUGUUAUUAAUAAUGAAAGCACAAGUUGUUUCGAGCGGUGACUUUUAAUCUGGGUUGUGGUACAGGUUUAAAGGUGCCUCCUAUAAUUGGGGCCUUCCCUAAGAUACUUCGUGGUUAUGACAAAAAAAUAAUAAUAAUAAUGAAAGCACGACUAAAUCAGAUACAUGAAAUAGUUACAGUGUCUUGAUCACACACCCAAUUUUAAGCUAUGCUAUGAGACCAUUAUAUAAAUGUAAAAUCACAAAUUUAUUAUUAUUAUUAUUAUUAUUGUUAACAAAAUGCACGAGUAACAUUAACAACUAAGACUAAGAAUCAAUUUUGACCCUAUAUGUAACAGAAUGAACAAGUAGCUCUUAAAACCAAUGGCUUAAUGAAAAACAAUACAGAUCGUAAACGACAUUUUGAACUUUAAUAAGAAGAGGACGUGGUUUUUCAAAUUGAAAAAAAGACAAAUGGUUUUAGAAUCUGGCUUUAGGAAAAACUUUUGGUCACAUUUUUAUUCACCCUUUGUUUGGUUACCCUCGGUUUUUUUGCUUACAAUGCUAUUAUACCAUAUUGAUUCACUUUAUUAGUGUACGAUUGAUUGGCGUCUUUAGAUUUAAUUUUUGUGUAUUUAAUUCUUUGUUGUGUUAAUUAUAUAUUUAUUAAUUUUUUCACUAUUGGGUGAUACUUGUACGUUGUCAGUCAGUCAAUAAAUUAUGAUUUUGGUAAUUAUAUGAGUAUUUUUAAGAAUAAAUAUAUAAUUUUUUGGUCAAAAUUAGUUAUAGAUAAUUAAAAUGCAGUGUUUUUUUAUCAAAAUAGUUUUUUGAGGAAAGUUUAUCUCAAUUCUCAAUCUAUAUAAUAUUACAUUAAUGCAAUAUACAUUAAAAAUUUACUUAUAGAAUCAUGGGACCUUGAAGCUUAACUUAAUGUCUAUUUGAGCCCAUCGUCUA
rnacentral:lncRNA from 1 species